UACGUAGGCAGCGAGCGUUGUUCGGAGUUACUGGGCGUAAAGGGUGUGUAGGCGGUUCUUUUAAGUUUGGUGUGAAAUCUCCCGGCUCAACUGGGAGGGUGCGCCGAAUACUGAGGGACUAGAGUGCGGGAGAGGAAAGUGGAAUUCCUGGUGUAGCGGUGAAAUGCGUAGAUAUCAGGAGGAACACCGGUGGUGUAGACGGCUUUCUGGACCGUAACUGACGCUGAGACACGAAAGCGUGGGUAGCAAACAGG
rnacentral:rRNA from 1 species